rnacentral:lncRNA from 1 species
GAAUAUGGAGCAAGUGGCAGCUCCCUGUCGCUGUGUGACGAUCUCGGCUUGAGAUCAUGGGGUUCUUAAACCAUCAGUGCUCCGCCGUCCUGACGCCUGUGUGUACCGUGGUGUUUAUUGGCCUGCUCUGUGCUGGUAUAUCUGUGCCGGCUCCAGACUGCUGUGUUAACUGACCGCUUGUAUCCCUUCCAACAAGGAGGAUUUGUAUCUCUGUAGUAACACCCUGCCUCCAGUCAGCUGUAACCCAUUAAGUUGAUAUUUAUUUCGUUCGAUCCUGCUGAUUGUACAAUUCUAUACUCUACACAUGCAUAACCUUUCUGGAUUUCUGUAUGCACACAGGUUCACCACUCGAAUCAUCAUAGUAAUAAUCGAAGAAGAUGACCGCGCAACUAUUCCAACCGACGAGCCAGCGAUUUCUAUCCCGUUCACCGUGAGCCAGGAUCCCGGGACCAGGAACUGUUUUCCCUCACAGCGACACGUUAUCGUGUCGUCCUACUCGCACGAUGGCAACGGGUUAGAGGGGCGAGCAAGCAAGGGGAGAAAGUUAAUAGUAACAGCCACUGGUGCUAGAUAGACCCCAAUAAUGCAGGAGGAAAGCAGCGAGUCGCCACCUCGACCAUCUUCCCCGUGAUCGCGAGCAGCAGCAGCAGCGACGGUUCCCGCGCGCCACACCACGGGAGUGCAAAGCCGACAUCGUUCUCGCAUCUCGCUUAUCCGCUGCCUGCGAAUCUGCGGCCGCUCCCAGCCACGUUUUUUCCUCCCAGCGUACUGUGAUCGCGAGAUGGAGAUGAAAAUUCAGCCGGCGACGCCGACGCCUCGGGCAGCUGGCUGUCCGCUCCUCCUCGCGAUCCCCGGGCAUGCUCCAGCCACCGGAUUCGCGUGGCGGGUGGUUCCUGUGACCUCGCGCGUGUCGCGACCGGCGCGACUCGGUGUUGCUGACGGCUCUAGCUAGUGGUGUGUAACCACGCAAAGCAUGCCAUUUGCUUCACCACCACCACCGUUCUUGACCUUCUCGCGGCCAGACGUGAAACCGUGCAAGCUUACGUAGAAGAAAUACUACAUGGAACGUGUCUUCGCCGGGCGGUGGGCGUGCACCGUUCUCCUCGCGGUCUUUCCGGCGUGUGGCGAGCCGUGCGGUUCACCAUGUACCUUGCCGUGCCGCAUGGGGCCAGCUGGCUUGGCUUCGCCUGGCAAGUUAAGGUCCUAGCUAAGCUAGCCUACGAACCGUGUGUUUUUCCCGUAUACGCGUGGGGUAACGUGUUGUCAAUGCAGACACGAGGAGGCCCACGCACGCACCGGCGGCCGUACUGCGAAGCGCGACGGUUGAUCAUUGGAUCGGACCGCCGUUCGUUCGCCGCGCCGUGUGUCCACAUGAUGUUUUCUCUGGCUCAGCUGCCGUCUCCGCGAUUAGUGGAGCGCGCGAGCCCGCGGUGUGGCGACCACACGAUGCCGGCCGUGGUCUCCAAAUCAGACGUUCACGUCCGUGCCCUGGCGCCCGCACACGCCUCUGAGGCCUGGACCCUCCAAAGUAAUUUGUGUGGUGCGUGAAUUCAGCAGUCGCUGCCUCCAAAGUAAUUUGUGCGGUGCGUGAAUUCAGCAGUCGCUGCCUCCAAAGUGAUCGGACGACUCCACUAAAAAAAAA